GACGAACGCUGGCGGCGUGCCUAAUACAUGCAAGUAGAACGCACAGUUUAUACCGUAGCUUGCUACACCAUAGACUGUGAGUUGCGAACGGGUGAGUAACGCGUAGGUAACCUGCCUGGUAACGGGGGAUAACUAUUGGAAACGAUAGCUAAUACCGCAUAAUAUUGAUUAUUGCAUGAUAAUUGAUUGAAAGAUGCUAUUGCAUCACUACCAGAUGGACCUGCGUUGUAUUAGCUAGUAGGUGAGGUAACGGCUCACCUAGGCGACGAUACAUAGCCGACCUGAGAGGGUGAUCGGCCACACUGGGACUGAGACACGGCCCAGACUCCUACGGGAGGCAGCAGUAGGGAAUCUUCGGCAAUGGACGAAAGUCUGACCGAGCAACGCCGCGUGAGUGAAGAAGGUUUUCGGAUCGUAAAGCUCUGUUGUAAGAGAAGAACGGGUGUGAGAGUGGAAAGUUCACACUGUGACGGUAUCUUACCAGAAAGGGACGGCUAACUACGUG
rnacentral:rRNA from 1 species